rnacentral:rRNA from 1 species
AAAACCCAAAGGCGAAAUGAAGGUAAAGGCCGCAAGGCUGAGGUGUGAUGUUCAGUUUAACUGGACCGCAACACCGUCCCAUCGCAUUGGCUCGUCCAAGCGGUGGAGAAAGAGCGUACACGUUGGGACCCGAAAGAUGGUGAACUAUGCCUGAGCAAGAUGAAGCCAGAGGAAACUCUGGUGGAGGUCUGUAGCGGUUCUGACGUGCAAAUCGAUCGUCAGACUUGGGUAUAGGGGCGAAAGACUAAUCGAACCAUC